CUCACAGUCUAAGGCAGAACUCCCAUUGUAUUCAGCAGAAGCAACCGGUCUUCAAGGCUGAUUUGGUUAUUUCAGCAUUGUGAUGAUCUCAAGUUCCUACAAUCCUCAGUAUUUUACAGGGGCGCCAACAAUGCAUGCUUGGAAAAUCAUCUGUCAAACUCUCAAUCCGGUAACCUGCUGGGAUGUAAGAAGUUCUCAACUCCUGGCCUUGCAGAGAAAGGAAAUGCCAUGCUGAGACCAUAGUUAAGAGUUUUGUGCAGAAGACACACGUACAAAUCGCUGCAGAGAAAUCGGUGCUGAGAAAGCCUCGGUUGGAGGACGGUGUCCAGCUGUGGUCAUCAUCUUUCAAGACAAAGCACAGAGGAAGAAACAAGGUUAUGGACAACAAAACCUGACCUGUAAGAACCGAAAGUCCUGAGUUGUUUAAUCUGGCAAAGAGAAGGCACAGAGACAAAAUUCUAAUAUGUGAAAGUCUGCUGAAAAAAGACACAGAAGGAUUGUUCUCCGUGUCUACUAGGGAUGAGCUGACAAAGAAGCUUCACCUGGGAAAUACUGCUUCUGUUACUUCAACUGCUAAGUGACACACCAACAUCUCUAUAACAUACCAAAGCAAGAAUGUGUUCGGAUGUAACCUUAAGUGCCUUGAAGCCUGACUGUUGUUGAAGAUGAGUGAAAAAGUGUUUUUCUUAACAUACUUAGUUUGCUGGGCUAAAGAAAAAAGAAUUAAAAGCAGUCAG